AUGUAAUGUAAUGCCUACAACAUCAAUUCACUGGUUCCCUUUAGAAAUCCAUAGUUAGGCGUGCUUGGGCUAGAGUAGUACUGGGAUGGGUGACCUCUUUGGAAGUCCUAGUGUUUUACAUG
rfam:Picea glauca, whole genome shotgun sequence.